CGCGUAGGCGGCCGAACAAGUUGAAUGUGAAAUCCCCGAGCUUAACUCGGGACGUGCAUUCAAAACUGUUUGGCUUGAGUAUGGUAGAGGUAAGUGGAAUUCCUAGUGUAGCGGUGGAAUGCGUAGAUAUUAGGAGGAACACCAGUGGCGAAGGCGACUUACUGGGCCACAACUGACGCUGAGGCGCGAAAGCGUGGGGAGCAAACAGGAUUAGAUACCCUGGUAGUCC
rnacentral:rRNA from 1 species